rnacentral:rRNA from 1 species
UACAGAGGGGGCAAGCGUUGUUCGGAAUUACUGGGCGUAAAGGGCGCGUAGGCGGCCCUCUAAGUCGAACGUGAAAUCCCCGGGCUCAACCCGGGAACUGCGUCCGAUACUGGAAGGCUUGAAACCGGGAGAGGGAUGCGGAAUUCCAGGUGUAGCGGUGAAAUGCGUAGAUAUCUGGAGGAACACCGGUGGCGAAGGCGGCAUCCUGGACCGGCAUUGACGCUGAGGCGCGAAAGCCAGGGGAGCAAACGGG